rnacentral:rRNA from 1 species
UAGGGAAUCUUCCGCAAUGGGCGAAAGCCUGACGGAGCAACGCCGCGUGAGGGAUGACGGCCUUCGGGUUGUAAACCUCUUUCAGCAGGGACGAAGCGCAAGUGACGGUACCUGCAGAAGAAGCACCGGCUAACUACGUGCCAGCAGCCGCGGUAAUACGUAGGGUGCAAGCGUUGUCCGGAAUUACUGGGCGUAAAGAGUUCGUAGGCGGUUUGUCGCGUCGUUUGUGAAAACCAGCAGCUCAACUGCUGGCUUGCAGGCGAUACGGGCAGACUUGAGUACUGCAGGGGAGACUGGAAUUCCUGGUGUAGCGGUGAAAUGCGCAGAUAUCAGGAGGAACACCGGUGGCGAAGGCGGGUCUCUGGGCAGUAACUGACGCUGAGGAACGAAAGCGUGGGUAGCGAACAGG